rnacentral:rRNA from 1 species
AGAGACCUCGAGCGUUUUCCGGAAUCAUUGGGCGUAAAGCGUCCGCAAGUGGCAUGACAAGUCGAACUUAAAAGCUCAGGGCUCAACCCUGAAUCUGGGUUCGAUACUGUCAAGCUAGAGGAUUGAGGAAGUCGAUGGAAUUCCCGGUGUAGCAGUGAAAUGCGUUAAUAUCGGGAAGAACACCAAUUGCGAAGGCAGUCGACUAUUCAACUCCUGACGCGCAGGGACGAAAGCAUGGGGGUAGCGAACGGGAUUAGAUACCCCGGUAGUCCAUGCCGUAAACGCUGGGUACUAGGUAUGGGAACUUCGACAGUUUCCCGUAUCGCAAGCUAACGCGUUAAGUACCUCGCCUGGGAAGUACGGCCGCAAGGCUA